rnacentral:rRNA from 1 species
AGAGUUUGAUCCUGGCUCAGGAUGAACGCUGGCGGUGUGCCUAAUACAUGCAAGUCGAACGCUUCACUUCGGUGAAGAGUGGCGAACGGGUGAGUAAUACAUAAGUAACCUGGCAUCUACAGGGGGAUAACUGAUGGAAACGUCAGCUAAGACCGCAUAGGUGUAGAGAUUGCAUGAACUCUAUAUGAAAAGUGCUACGGGACUGGUAGAUGAUGGACUUAUGGCGCAUUAGCUUGUUGGUAGGGUAACGGCCUACCAAGGCGACGAUGCGUAGCCGACCUGAGAGGGUGACCGGCCACACUGGGACUGAGACACGGCCCAGACUCCUACGGGAGGCAGCAGUAGGGAAUUUUCGGCAAUGGGGGAAACCCUGACCGAGCAACGCCGCGUGAAGGAAGAAGUAAUUCGUUAUGUAAACUUCUGUCAUAGAGGAAGAACGGUGGAUAUAGGAAAUGAUAUCCAAGUGACGGUACUCUAUAAGAAAGCCACGGCUAACUACGUGCCAGCAGCCGCGGUAAUACGUAGGUGGCGAGCGUUAUCCGGAAUUAUUGGGCGUAAAGAGGGAGCAGGCGGCACUAAGGGUCUGUGGUGAAAGAUCGAAGCUUAACUUCGGUAAGCCAUGGAAACCGUAGAGCUAGAGUGUGUGAGAGGAUCGUGGAAUUCCAUGUGUAGCGGUGAAAUGCGUAGAUAUAUGGAGGAACACCAGUGGCGAAGGCGACGAUCUGGCGCAUAACUGACGCUCAGUCCCGAAAGCGUGGGGAGCAAAUAGGAUUAGAUACCCUAGUAGUCCACGCCGUAAACGA